rnacentral:rRNA from 1 species
CCUACGGGGGGCUGCAGUGGGGAAUUUUGGACAAUGGGCGCAAGCCUGAUCCAGCCAUGCCGCGUGAGUGAAGAAGGCCUUCGGGUUGUAAAGCUCUUUCGGCCGGAACGAAAUCGACCGGGUUAACACCUCGGUUGGAUGACGGUACCGGAAGAAGAAGCACCGGCUAACUACGUGCCAGCAGCCGCGGUAAUACGUAGGGUGCAGGCGUUAAUCGGAAUUACUGGGCGUAAAGCGUUCGCAGGCGGCUGACAUCCCCGGGCUUAACCUGGGAACUGCGUUUGAAACUGGGAGGCUAGAGUGCGGCAGAGGGAGGUGGAAUUCCACGUGUAGCAGUGAAAUGCGUAGAUAUGUGGAGGAACACCGAUGGCGAAGGCAGCCUCCUGGGCCAGCACUGACGCUCAUGCACGAAAGCGUGGGGAGCAAACAGGAUUAGAUACCCUAGUAGUC